GAUGAACGCUGGCGGCGUGCCUAAUACAUGCAAGUCGAGCGAACAGAUGAGAAGCUUGCUUCUCUGAUGUUAGCGGCGGACGGGUGAGUAACACGUAGGUAACCUACCUAUAAGACUGGGAUAACUCCGGGAAACCGGGGCUAAUACCGGAUAAUAUUUUGAACCGCAUGGUUCAAUAGUGAAAGACGGUUUCGGCUGUCACUUAUAGAUGGACCCGCGCCGUAUUAGCUAGUUGGUAAGGUAACGGCUUACCAAGGCGACGAUACGUAGCCGACCUGAGAGGGUGAUCGGCCACACUGGAACUGAGACACGGUCCAGACUCCUACGGGAGGCAGCAGUAGGGAAUCUUCCGCAAUGGGCGAAAGCCUGACGGAGCAACGCCGCGUGAGUGAUGAAGGUCUUCGGAUCGUAAAACUCUGUUGUUAGGGAAGAACAAAUUUGUUAGUAACUGAACAAGUCUUGACGGUACCUAACCAGAAAGCCACGGCUAACCACGUGCCAGCAGCCGCAGUAA
rnacentral:rRNA from 1 species